rnacentral:rRNA from 1 species
AUUGAACGCUGGCGGCAUGCUUUACACAUGCAAGUCGAACGGCAGCACGGACUUCGGUCUGGUGGCGAGUGGCGAACGGGUGAGUAAUACAUCGGAACGUACCCAGUAAUGGGGGAUAACUAUCCGAAAGGAUAGCUAAUACCGCAUACGCCCUACGGGGGAAAGAGGGGGAUCGCAAGACCUCUUGUUAUUGGAGCGGCCGAUGGCUGAUUAGCUAGUUGGUAGGGUAAAGGCCUACCAAGGCAACGAUCAGUAGCGGGUCUUAGAGGACGGUCCGCCACACUGGAACUGAGACACGGUCCAGACUCCUACGGGAGGCAGCAGUGGGGAAUCUUGGAUAAUGGGCGCAAGCCUGAUCCAGCAAUGCCGCGUGCGUGAAGAAGGCCUUCGGGUUGUAAAGCGCUUUUGUCAGGGAGCAAAUCCUUGUGGCUAAUACCCACCGGGGAUGAGAGUACCUGAAGAAUAAGGACCGGCUAACUACGUGCCAGCCGCCGCGGUAAAAC